rnacentral:tRNA from 1 species
GCCCCCGUAGCUCAGGGGAUAGAGCACCGCUCUCCUAAAGCGGGUGUCAGAGGUUCGAAUCCUCUCGGGGGCGCCC